rnacentral:rRNA from 1 species
GUCGAACGGAGCUUAGAGAGCUUGCUUUUUAAGCUUAGUGGCGAACGGGUGAGUAACGCGUGAGUAACCUGCCCUAGAGUGGGGGACAACAGUUGGAAACGACUGCUAAUACCGCAUAAGCCCACGGUACCGCAUGGUACUGAGGGAAAAGGAUUUAUUCGCUUUAGGAUGGACUCGCGUCCAAUUAGCUAGUUGGUGAGGUAACGGCCCACCAAGGCGACGAUUGGUAGCCGGACUGAGAGGUUGAACGGCCACAUUGGGACUGAGACACGGCCCAGACUCCUACGGGAGGCAGCAGUGGGGGAUAUUGCACAAUGGGGGAAACCCUGAUGCAGCGACGCCGCGUGGAGGAAGAAGGUUUUCGGAUUGUAAACUCCUGUCGUUAGGGACGAUAAUGACGGUACCUAACAAGAAAGCACCGGCUAACUACGUGCCAGCAGCCGCGGUAAAACGUAGGGUGCAAGCGUUGUCCGGAAUUACUGGGUGCAAAGGGAGCGCAGGCGGGAAGACAAGUUGGAAGUGAAAACCAUGGGCUCAACCCAUGAAUUGCUUUCAAAACUGUUUUUCUUGAGUAGUGCAGAGGUAGAUGGAAUUCCCGGUGUAGCGGUGGAAUGCGUAGAUAUCGGGAGGAACACCAGUGGCGAAGGCGGUCUACUGGGCACCAACUGACGCUGAGGCUCGAAAGCAUGGGUAGCAAACAGGAUUAGAUACCCUGGUAGUCCAUGCCGUAAACGAUGAUUACUAGGUGUUGGGGGAUUGACCCCCUCAGUGCCGCAGUUAACACAAUAAGUAAUCCACCUGGGGAGUACGACCGCAAGGUUGAAACUCAAAGGAAUUGACGGGGGCCCGCACAAGCAGUGGAGUAUGUGGUUUAAUUCGAAGCAA